UAGAUUUAAAACGCCCUCUGUUUUUACGACAUAUUCUAAUAAUAAUCGUUAGUUCUAGUUUCGAUGAAGCGUGCUAAAAUUUGCUGCGUAUUAGUUAGGAAUUCGCAGAUUCGUGCGUGUACUAUAGGCUAAGUUCGUGCGUAGGAAAUGAGCUAACACUUCCAUAUGGUGUACAUUACAAGUUUUAAGUAACAUCCUGUGCACAGUCACGCAUGCACUCAUUAUAAAAGGCGACUUAAGAUAGCGUGCGAGAGAGUCAUUCCGCAACCGCUACGAUCAGAGGAUCAAUCUGCUACAAGCUACCUUUUGAGCUAUACUUUCUGCUGUGCGAGUCGUCACCAAAUUCGAACCUACACGACUCUAUUCGACACUAAACUACCCUAUAUUUCUACUCUACUUCGUUUUAUUCUCCGCGACCACGAACUUUGCUACCGUGACUUUCACGAUCUGUCAUCAUCGUCGCAACCAGUGUAAUUCGUCUAUCUUGAACUGUGAUUAAACGUGUGUUAGUCAUUCUA